rnacentral:rRNA from 1 species
CCCUUAGAUGUUCUGGGCCGCACGCGUGCUACACUGAGUGGAUCAGCGGGUCAGGUUGCGCGAAAGUGUUUCCUAAUCUUGAAAUCCGCUCGUGAUGGGGAUUGACGGUUGCAAUUUUCCGUCAUGAACGAGGAAUACCUUGUAAGCGCGGGUCAUCAUCCCGCGCUGAAUACGUCCCUGCCCUUUGUACAUACCGCCCGUCGCUCCUACCGAUUGAGUGGUCCGGUGAGGCUUUGGGAUCUGAGCGGAAAGAGCGUUUCGCUGUUUCUGCUCGGAAAACUCAGUCGAACCUUAUCAUUGAGAGGAAGGAGAAGUCGUAACA